rnacentral:rRNA from 1 species
AUUGAACGCUGGCGGCAGGCCUAACACAUGCAAGUCGAACGGUAACAGGGAUCAGCUUGCUGAUUCGCUGACGACUGGCGGACGAGUGAGCAAUGUCUGGGCAACCGCCUGGGGUAGGGGGAUAACUACUGGAAACGGUCGCUAAUACCGCAUAACGUCGCAAGGCCAAAGCGGGGGACCUUCCGGCCUCUUGCCAUCGGAUGUGCCCAGAUGGGAUUAGCUAGUAGGUGGGGUAACGGCUCACCUAGGCGACGAUCCCUAGCUGGUCUGAGAGGAUGACCAGCCACACUGGAACUGAGACACGGUCCAGACUCCUACGGGAGGCAGCAGUGGGGAAUGUUGGACAAUGGGCGCAAGCCUGAUCCAGCCAUGCCGCGUGUAUGAAGAAGGCCUUCGGGUUGUAAAGUACUUUCAGCCGGAACGAAGGGAGUAAAGUUAAUACCUUGGCUUAAUGACGGUACCGUCAGAAGAAGCACCGGCUAACUCCGUG